AGCGAGUCUAGAGUCACAUCCUGACACAAUGAUUGUCACGGUGUGCUAGAGUCCUCGCAGAGAAACUUUCUUUGCUAAUUCAUUGGCUGCCUCUUUUCCUUUGGCCAAUUCAGAUGUGAACAGCAACAGAACCAAUU